AGCAGCCGCGGUAAUUCCAGCUCCAAUAGCGUAUAUUAAAGUUGUUGCAGUUAAAAAGCUCGUAGUUGAAUUUCGGGAUCAAUACGUCGGUCGUGCUUCGGUACGUACUGGCGUCAUUGAUUUCUCCCUUCUGACGAACCAUGAUGUCAUUAACUUGGUGUCAUGGGAAAUCAGGACUGUUACUUUGAAAAAAUUAGAGUGUUUAAAGCAAGCUAACGCUUGAAUACAUUAGCAUGGAAUAAUGAAAUAGGACGUUCGAUCCUAUUUUGUCGGUUUCUAGGAUUGACGUAAUGAUUAAUAGGGAUAGUUGGGGGCAUUAGUAUUCAAUUGUCAGAGGUGAAAUUCUUGGAUUUAUUGAAGACUAACUACUGCGAAAGCAUUUGCCAAGGAUGUUUUCAUUAAUCAAGAACGAAAGUUAGGGGAUCGAAGACGAUCAGAUACCGUCGUAGU
rnacentral:rRNA from 1 species